UCUGAUUCUUCAAAGUAAUAUAAACUUGGACUUUAACUUGAUUUGAAUUCAAGGGGUUGAGUAGCUUGAUCUUAAAUUUUUUUCUUCGGACUUGAAUUUGGAUGUUAAUUCGUCACAAACACUUGAAUGGUUGUCGGGAACGAUGAAUAAGUAACUUGAUCUUGAACAAAAUUUUCUUCUUUCUUGAUCUUGAGCUUGAUAGCUUGAAACUUAUAACUUGCAGAGAAAUUA
rnacentral:lncRNA from 1 species